AUGCCCUGCACCGGCGUGCCUCCUCCGCCAAUCUGCUUCACUGCCCCUUGCCCGCUCCACUUGGCCACCAGUGCUGCCUGCGCCUACCGGCGAGGCCCUUCCUCCCCCAAGCCCCGCGUCAGAUCUGACGGCAGGAUCCCAGCAAAGUCCUUCCACUUGCCGGUGUUCCUUACUCCUGCCGGCACUGGAUCCCGGGUGGUUGGUGGCGGAGCUCCUCGGCCGGUUUGCCCGCUCUUGGUGGCGCUACAGCAUCAGCCGUUCUUCCCUCGAUCCAUGGCCAUGGCUCCAAAGGUUGUGGCUUUUGAUGUGUCUCCGGUGGUGCCUCCCCAGCGGCGGCCAACCCUUACGCGCGUCGGGUCUGGCGUUCGGCGGGCGCUUGUGCCCUUGUGGUGGGACUAUUGCCGGUGCGGCUCCAGACCCGACGACCUUGGACCUGCGUUUUCCGGGUCCAUGGUUGUUGGUGUGUCUUCUGGCGCCGCGCCAGGCGUCGGCACCGGUGGUCCGGAGUUGCGUCACAUCCAGUUACUACCUUGCCAGCGUCGUCGGUCGCCGUCGCGUCCCCUGCAUCGGCCCCCGUCGCCCCCCAAACCCCGGCAACCUCGUUGCCCCGCCUCUCGUCAUGUCAAGGCUCGCAUGUCCAGUGUGACUCCCCUUCGUGUGUUGGGCUUUGACUCCCGAUUUCUGAUCCGUGGCUAUGGGAUUGUACAGACAUAG
rnacentral:rRNA from 1 species